GGCCUGUUGGCGUGUUUACGGUCAAACCUAAGAUUUUGUAAAAAAUGUAGACUUGGACCAGUUGGCUACCAUUAACAGCACUGAUUAACUUUUGACAACAUGUUAGGUGAAUUUAAACAGGGAGUGUCUGGUUAUUUGUAUGUGAAAUGUCGAAACACAGAAUGCGGUCAUGUGAAUUGUGUUCCCUAUGGAAAAACACACAGACUCUAGUAGAUUGAAGACCUGUGAAAGUUGGAAUGCCAUGUUUCGUUGUCAACACAAAAUUAGGAACAGCAAUGAUUGAUAGUGUAGGUGGGCCGGUGAGGGUCAACAAUUUGUUGUCAACACUAAAUAUACCAACAAUUGGAAAUAAAAACAUGAAAAGAAAUGGAGAGACGUGUUGGAAAUAUCAUUGAGACAGCACUGGCUUCUAUGCCGACAGAAUCUGCUGCAUAAGAUCAAGGAAAUGGAGGAUGUGCAUCAUGAAGAAUCAAUGGUAUCAGAACACAACAUCAUGGAAGAUCUUAUUGACAAGAUCUCGGAGGAUGUCCUUUGCCAGAUGUUUGCCAGCACUAAAGUCUAUUCAUCAGUCAGAUGCUACAGUUACAAAUGACAGUGAAUGGUCAGAUUUAUACAAUUGUGAUUAACAAUCAUCAACAAUACAUCAAACAAAAAUGCCUAUUAAACUUUCUCACAGACAGUCAAAGGUUGAAAAAAAAUCAGAAGUGGUCCACAUCUUAAAAAACCUCACAGCAGAUUAAGACUUUCCCCGAAAUUUCCCUGUAAAACCCGCAGUGGUAUGUCCAGUGCAGUAGAUACUGCCUGGCACAAAAGAGGAUUUGACAGUUUAACAUUGUACUGCACCAAUAAACUAAAUAUGGAGAGAAGCUUAGUCACCAAAGCAGUCAACACCAAAAUACACACAAUGGCCAGGGCACUGAAACUUGGAAGGGUGAAAGAGUAAAGUAGUGCGUUUUUAGCUAACAAAGUGACAUUGCGAGCUUUUGUCUAUCUUUCGUCCGUAAACUUGAUCUUUAAACAACAUCUCAUAAAUUGCCAAGCCAAUUUCAUGCAAACUUACGAUAUUGUCUAGUCAGUUUUUGUUUUGCUUGCAAUCGUUAUAUGACAUGACUAAAGACAUUUAGUUUUAUUCUUAAGUUAUUAUGUUUAUGUUUGUAUAAGACCCAAAUAUAUUGUUAAGAUUCAUUUUUACAAAUUUGAAAGCCAUUAUUGUUCUAGUCAGUUUUUGUUUUGCUUGCAAUCAUUAUAUUACAUGGCUAAAGACAUUUAGUUUUAAUCUUUAAUAGUUAUGUCUAUAUUUGUAUAAGACCCAAAAAUAUUGUUGAGAUUCAUUUUUACAAUUUUGAAAGCCAUUAUUGCUUUAGUUUGUUUUUGUUUUGCUUGCAAUUGUUAUAUGACAUGACUAAAGACAUUUAGUUUAAUUCUUUAGUUAUUAUGUCUAUGAGGGGCGUCCGUGGCUGAGUGGUUAAGGUCAUUGACUUCAAACCACUUGCCCCUCACCGCUGUGGGUUGGAAUCCCGACAGGGACUUUGGAAUCUGUCUUGUGAGGAAGCUAUCCAGCUAGCUUAACUGAACGUCAGUGGUUCUACUCAGAUACCUUUUCGUGCCUGAAAUAAUGCAAGGAAGGGCAUCUGAACGUCACGAUAUGACCUUUACUGUGUUGAUGUGACGUAAAAACCCAAAACAAGCAAACAAAAAAUUAUGUCUAUGAAAUUCGUUGUUUGUAUAAGACCCAAAUAUAUUGGUGUGAUUAAUUUUAACAAUUUUGAAAGCCAUAAUUGUUCGUGUCAGAUAUUGUUUUGCUCACAAUCAUAAUGUUAUAUGACAUAUGAGUUUAAAUCUGAAGGUAUUAUGUCCAUGAAAUAUGUUGUUUGUUUAAGACCAAAAUAUAUUUUUGAGAUUCAUUUUUACAAUUUUGAAAGCCAUUAUUGGUCUAGUCUGUUUUUGCAUAACACAUAACGCUAUUGUUAGUAUUUAUUGUUAUUAAUAGUGAUUUGUCUAAGUGAAUGUCGAAGUAUGUAUGUUAUACCAUGCCAGUUCAUGUUUGAAUGAAACUUUUUGUCCAGAUAGAAGAUUUCAAACUGUAACUUUUCUGAUUUUUAUCUUUUACAACAAUAUUAUAUUUCCCAUUUAUGGUG